AGUGAACGCUGGCGGUAGGCCUAACACAUGCAAGUCGAACGGCAGCACAGUAAGAGCUUGCUCUUACGGGUGGCGAGUGGCGGACGGGUGAGGAAUACAUCGGAAUCUACUUUUUCGUGGGGGAUAACGUAGGGAAACUUACGCUAAUACCGCAUACGACCUACGGGUGAAAGCAGGGGAUCUUCGGACCUUGCGCGAUUGAAUGAGCCGAUGUCGGAUUAGCUAGUUGGCGGGGUAAAGGCCCACCAAGGCGACGAUCCGUAGCUGGUCUGAGAGGAUGAUCAGCCACACUAGAACUGAGACACGGUCCAGACUACUACGGGAGGCAGCAGUGGGGAAUAUUGGACCAUGGGCGGAAGCCUGAUCCAGCCAUACCGCGUGGGUGAAGAAGGCCUUCGGGUUGUAAAGCCCUUUUGUUGGGAAAGAAAAGCAGCAGGUUAAUACCCCGCUGUUCUGACGGUACCCAAAGAAUAAGCACCGGCUAACUUCGUG
rnacentral:rRNA from 1 species